UUACACAUGCAAGUCGAACGGCAGCACGGGAGCAAUCCUGGUGGCGAGUGGCGAACGGGUGAGUAAUAUAUCGGAACGUGCCCAGUCGUGGGGGAUAACGCAGCGAAAGCUGUGCUAAUACCGCAUACGAUCUCUGGAUGAAAGCGGGGGACUCAGCAAUGAGCCUCGCGCGAUUGGAGCGGCCGAUAUCAGAUUAGCUAGUUGGUGGGGUAAAGGCCUACCAAGGCUACGAUCUGUAGUUGGUCUGAGAGGACGACCAGCCACACUGGGACUGAGACACGGCCCAGACUCCUACGGGAGGCAGCAGUGGGGAAUUUUGGACAAUGGGCGCAAGCCUGAUCCAGCAAUGCCGCGUGCAGGAAGAAGGCCUUCGGGUUGUAAACUGCUUUUGUCAGGGAAGAAAUCUUCUGGGCUAAUACCUCGGGAGGAUGACGGUACCUGAAGAAUAA
rnacentral:rRNA from 1 species